rnacentral:rRNA from 1 species
GAACGAACGCUGGCGGCAUGCCUAACACAUGCAAGUCGAACGAAGGCUUCGGCCUUAGUGGCGCACGGGUGCGUAACGCGUGGGAACCUGCCCCUCGGUUCGGAAUAACAGUUAGAAAUGACUGCUAAUACCGGAUGAUGACUUCGGUCCAAAGAUUUAUCGCCGAGGGAUGGGCCCGCGUAGGAUUAGCUAGUUGGUGGAGUAAAGGCCUACCAAGGCGACGAUCCUUAGCUGGUCUGAGAGGAUGAUCAGCCACACUGGGACUGAGACACGGCCCAGACUCCUACGGGAGGCAGCAGUGGGGAAUAUUGGACAAUGGGCGAAAGCCUGAUCCAGCAAUGCCGCGUGAGUGAUGAAGGCCUUAGGGUUGUAAAGCUCUUUUACCAGGGAUGAUAAUGACAGUACCUGGAGAAUAAGCUCCGGCUAACUCCGUG